CGAAAAAUAAAAGAUAAGGGAAAAAAGAAAGCAAAUCUGAUUUUUUUUUUGUGUUGGGUUGCCUCCCAGUAAGCGCUUUUGUUUUAUGUCAUUGGCUCGACAUGCUGCAUGCUCAUUCUUCAUAGAUUGGUUCAGCUAACUCCACAGAAGCAGUGAGUUCUACCGUCCAACCUUCAUAGAAAGGUUUCAAGCGAUGCCCAUUGACCUUGAGUACUUUAUUGGUUUCUAAACUUGUAAUUUCAACUGCACCAUAAGGAAAAACAUUAGAAACAACAAAUGGUCCAAUCCAACGAGAGCGUAACUUUCCAGGAAAAAGUUUCAAAC
rnacentral:lncRNA from 1 species